GUACUGUUUAUCCCAUAGCCAGGAUUCACAGGUCCAGAAAUCAAGGGGUGGAAGUGGAAGUGGCACCACUCUCCAUCACCCCUAAUGAUCCACUUGCAAAACUUUUGCUUCCUGCUCCUGCAACAUUAUGUUCUGCUGGCCUAGAGGUCUUAGUUCCAGAGGGAGGAAUACUGCCACCAGGAGGACGCAACAACAAUUCCAUUAAACUGGAAGUUAAGAUUGCCACCUGGACACUUUGGGCUCCUCCUACCUUUAAGUCAACAGGCUAAGAAGGGAGUUACAGUGUUGGCUGGGGUUAGCUGGUGUGACUGACCUGGACCAUCAAAUUGAAAUCAGUCUACUACUCCACAAUGGAGUUACAAAACUGGAUUAAUUGAAUCACUAUGUCCAAGUUCCUUCUGCAACCCUGGGGAAGACUGCUACCAUAAGCGUGAAACACAUCUGUGACAGAGUAUUAAGGCUUUAUCCACAAAUUACCAAGGGACCACCAAUUCUCUAGAACUCGUGACAGUCAACACAUUCUAAUUUAACAAAGAAAAAAAGAAGUCUGCUGUUUUGAGAUUAACACAACCACGGAUGUAUUCACCAAAAUGAAGUUUGUCUGCAGAAUUCAGUACCACGCUUUUUUUUUCUAGUUUGUCCAGCUCAUAAACAGGUGAGGGGUUCUGAUACCCCUAUAUUGCCUAAGGAAGUCAAGAAAAGCAUCAUAUAGGGAUUUGAACUAGACCUCCUUUCAGGUCCCAUACAGCCCUGGGAACCCAUGAUUCGAAUGUGUGUCUUGCUAUUCUAGGAUACAAACUACAAGUCUAUGAGGGAAACCAGAUUGAAAAUAAGACUCAUAGGUUCUAUUUAAGUGCUGCUGCUUUGAAUCACAUAGCUAGAGAAGUUUGCUAAAGGCACUUAUGCACCAGUUAAACUACAGGCACACAAGCAUUUCUAUUUACUGCCUUGCGAAGGAAAGGCAAGAAGGGGAGAGCUGCCAAACCAGGAAGAAAUAGAGGUGAUGUUCAAAGGCCAGCUAAAAGCACAUUCAAUGUUUAAAGCAAUCUAGAAAUGCGAAACCAGGCCAUUAAAUAAUAAGAAUUAGAUGAAACGGCAACAAACAUUAGAUUAAGAAAAACACCCAUAAAUAUCAAUUAAUAUAGUACUUCGAUUACCAAAAAACAUUGCAUUAUUGGAAUAUAUUCCCAGUAGAGAAAUGGUACUGGAAAUUAUUAGAUCUCCUAUGCAUGGGAAAGCAUGCAUAGAAAUGGAGAUAGAGAAAAAGAAAACGAGGAAAGAUAUGGAACAAUUAUGCUGCAUCUGUUUCUUACACAUCAGCGGGGGGCACUUUUCCCUAAAUCAGUUGAACAGUCAGUGAUGUGAAAGAUGAGAGCUCAUUAGGCAGCCUGCAGACAGCACCUGAAAUGGUUUGUCAAACAGUCGUGCCUCUGAAAAUCAACAAUGAACCAGGAGGUGAUGCUUCAUUUAUAGGGGGAAAGGCAAAAGCAAUCAAGACCCAAAGACAGGGCAACUGGGCUCUAUGUAGGCUCAUUAUGCUCAGCUCUGCCAAAAAAAAAAUGACAAAGAAGCCGAAUGCCAGGGUAGGAAACAAAAAUUAAGGCAGCAACAGGGAAGGAAGGGACAAAUAUUUCUUGAAUGCUUAGCAGUUGCCCCAUACUGCAUAUCAUCUCUUUUUCAUUUACAGCAACCCGGUACAGUGGUAUUGCUUCCACUCUUCAAGAUAAUGAAACAAAGAAUAAUUUGCUCAAAGUCACAGUGUACUAGAUUCAAAAACAUGUAUGUCCAACUGCAAACAGAAGUCUCUUGAACACAGCAAAGCUGUUUUCCAGAAAGUACAAAAUAUUAAGGAUAAUGUCUAUCAAUGAAAGAGACUAAGAAAGAGUUUUAGGAGCUCAGUAGAGAAAAUAGCUGCAGACCUGUGACUUAAGAGCUGAUUACGGAUUCAGCUUAUACUUCUCACAUGUCAGGAAAUGGAGGAUCCACAGUUCAAGCAGGAAUAAAGAGGAGUGGGGGAGUAAGUCUUUGUGGACAGCAUCUUUGUAUGGCUUUCUUUCUCUACAAUAGGGAUUUUGCUGAGGUACUGGUCCAAACGUUCUUGGGUAGUUCCUACAAAUGCUUACCAAGUCAAGUACCCCAGCUUACAUGGAGAACACUGCAUGUGUCCUUCCAGACCAGGAGCCAUUUGUCAGACUGUGUGAAUUAUCUACUAGAGGAACUUAGGGUUCUCUAUUGAACAGAAAAGGUUGAAAGUAAGAAAUAUUGCUUAAACAAGAAGCUGAGACAAGUUUCUUAGAAGGAAGGAGGUCAACACCAUGACAGUGCUGUACCCCAAAUCACCUCACUAUCCUGGUAUUUAAUUAAUGUCUGGUGAAUGUCAGCCCUUCCUGGCAUCCAGUCCACUGCCUGAGAAUUGAGGACAUCAUGUUCUCCCCUGACAAGGAGCAGCCAGCCCCAGCACGUCUACCACUUCUUUCAGAAGGCCUGACAGGCACUUACUCGUGCAGACCCACGCUGCCAGACUAGUGCAUCCCUGGUGGUCAUUCAAAGUAGGACCUCUUUGGGGAAUGUGUAUUUAUUAUAAAGCCAAGACUUCUACCCUAUGAAACUCAUUAUUAUUUUGUUGUUGUUGUUACUUAGCAAAUGUUGUUGAGGACAUAGUUCACUACUUUAUCCUGUCUCUGGUAAAAAGAAACGUAAGAGAAAUUCUUCUCUGGUCUUAGUCCCAGGAUUAAGUAUGCUAAACUGUUUUUCACUUAUGGAUACUAUUAUUGUUUUUGCCUUAACUGCUCAGAAAUUAAAUGUGUACCCCAUCUCUAGGAAAUGUGCACACAUUUUAUUCAUUAACCUUAUCCAAGUUUUGAACUUAUUUCUCUGUUAUUAUUUUCUUUUUGUCCUCAUUUCCUCAAUUGCUUUUUUAAAUACAGAUUUUAUUUUUUUAGAGUACUUUUAGGUUCACAGCAAAUUUGAGCAGAAAGUACAGUUCCCAUAUUCUCCUCUUCCCUGCCCCCAGCCACACUGUCUCUCCCGCUAUUAAUAUCACACACCAGAAUGAUAUUAUACAUUUGUCACAUUCCAUGAACCUACAUUGAUACAUCCUUUUCAUCCCAAAUCCAUCAUUUACAUUAGGGUUGACUCUUGGUGUUAUAUGCUCUAUGGGUUUUGAUAUGUGUAUAAUCACUUGUAUCUACCAUUAUAGUAUCAUACAGAGUAGCUCACUGACCAAAAAAUCAUCUGUGCUCUGCCCAUUCAUUCCUCCCAUCUCCCAAAUCUCUGGCAGCCACUGAUCUUUUUACUGUCUCCGGAGUUUUGUCUGUUCCAGAAUGUCAUACAGUUGUAGUCACACAGUAUGUAGCAUUUUCAGAUUGAUCUUACACUUAGUAAUAUGCAUUUAAGGUUCUUCUAUGGUUUGAUAGUUUAUUUCUUUUUAACACUGAAUAAUAUUCCACUGUCUGGAUACACCAGUUUAUUUAUACAUUCACUAACUGCUUGGUUGCUUUCAAGUUUUGACAAUUAUGAAUAAAACUGUGUUAAAUAUCUGUGUACAGGUUAUUAUGUGAACAUAAGUUUUUUUUUCAGUUUUUUAAAAAUUUAAUUUUUAUUUUUAGUUCUGGGGUACAUGCGCAGGAUGUGCAGGUUUGUUACACAGGUAAGUUUUUAAUUCCUUUUGGUAAAUACCAAGAAGCACAACUGCUAGAUUGUAGGGUAAAUAUAUGUUUAAUUUGUAAAAAAAACUGCAAAAAUGUCUCCCAAAGUGGCUGAUAUGGUUUGGCUGUGUCCCUACUCAAAAUCUCAUCUUGAAUUGUAAUAAUCCCCAAGUGUCAAGGGGAUUAUUACAACAGUAUGGUGGUUUUCCCCAUACUGUUCUUGUGAUAGUGAGUGAGUUCUCAUAAGAUCUGGUAGUUUUAUAA
rnacentral:lncRNA from 1 species